UACAGAUACAGUCAACAAGGCUGGUUACAAGUACACUCCACUCUCUCUGGCCUACGAAGGUGGACACUGGGAAGUGGUAAAGUAUCUCGCCAUCACUCAUCACUGUGAUACAACAAUGGCAGUGAAUGAGGAUGGAGACACUCCUCUUUCCAGUGCGUGUUUCCGUGGUGACCUGGAGAUGAUCAAGGUUCUCAUUAACAAGCAUGUUGAUCUAAGUAAGCCAGUCAACAAGGCUGGUGACACUC